UUUGAUCUCAAAUCAGGUAGGGCUACCCGCUGAACUUAAGCAUAU
rnacentral:rRNA from 1 species